GGCGAACGCUGGCGGCGUGCUUAACACAUGCAAGUCGAACGGUAAGGCCUUUCGGGGUACACGAGUGGCGAACGGGUGAGUAACACGUGGGUGAUCUGCCCUGCACUUCGGGAUAAGCCCGGGAAACUGGGUCUAAUACCGGAUAGGACUGCGCGGUGCAUGCCGUGUGGUGGAAAGAUUUAUCGGUGCAGGAUGGGCCCGCGGCCUAUCAGCUUGUUGGUGGGGUAAUGGCCUACCAAGGCGACGACGGGUAGCCGGCCUGAGAGGGCGACCGGCCACACUGGGACUGAGACACGGCCCAGACUCCUACGGGAGGCAGCAGUGGGGAAUAUUGCACAAUGGGCGCAAGCCUGAUGCAGCGACGCCGCGUGAGGGAUGACGGCCUUCGGGUUGUAAACCUCUUUCAGCAGGGACGAAGCGUGAGUGACGGUACCUGCAGAAGAAGCACCGGCCAACUACGUG
rnacentral:rRNA from 1 species